UACAGAGGUCUCAAGCGUUGUUCGGAUUCAUUGGGCGUAAAGCGCGCGUAGGCGGCCCGGUAAGUCCGCUCUGAAAGUCCAGGGCUCAACCCUGGAAAGCGGGUGGAUACUGCCGGGCUAGAAUCCGGAAGAGGCGAGUGGAAUUCCUGGUGUAGCGGUGGAAUGCGCAGAUAUCAGGAGGAACACCGGUGGCGAAGGCGGAUCUCUGGGCCUUACCUGACGCUCAGGUGCGAAAGCUAGGGGAGCGAACAGG
rnacentral:rRNA from 1 species